AACGUAGGAGGCGAGCGUUAUCCGGAGUUACUGGGCGUAAAGCGCGUGUAGGCGGCCAGGUAGGUCGGUUGUGAAAACUGGAGGCUCAACCUUCAGAGGUCGACCGAAACCAUCUGGCUAGAGUCCGGGAGAGGAGAGUGGAAUUCCUGGUGUAGCGGUGAAAUGCGUAGAGAUCAGGAGGAACACCCGUGGCGAAGGCGGCUCCCUGGUCCGUUUCUGACGCUGAGACGCGAAAGCGCGGGGAGCGAACGGG
rnacentral:rRNA from 1 species